rnacentral:misc_RNA from 1 species
AGAUUUGGAUAAAUUACAAUUUAACCCAUGAGAUUUAAUAAAAUUUAUAAUUUAGUCCUUAUAUUUUUAAAAUCUACAAUUUAGUCCAUGAGAUUUGACAUUGCAAUUUAGUCUUUGUUGUUAGGAUUCCGUUAAACUACCGUUAAUUUUAUUUAAAAUGACCAAAAUAUCCUUAUCUUUAUUUUUAAUCUAAUUUGGUUUCUAAAAUUUUAUUUUCUUAAAAUUUAGUUUAUGAGAUUUUAUUUUAUUAUCAAUUUAGUCCCUGUAUUUUAAAAUGUGGGUCUCAU